UUUGGGGUGUUGCAUCUGAUAAGAUCUCAUCAGUAGUGGUUUCGAUUUUGAUGUUUUAUCUUUCCUAGAAUCUCGGAAGCACACUUAGGUUGGAAACACGCCGGUAGCAUUUAUUUAUCUUUAUUUGUUGCUAUUUGAGUUAGUUUGCUGCUUGGAUAUCAUGCCAUACCAGCUCUAACAUCCAUGCAUAUGAUUUCUCCAGGGUCAUAUUCUGAAUAAUAGUGCAAGGUACUUUGAGUUAAUGUUCUGCAAAUUAGUGCAUCUGGAACGCUAGGAUGUGUGGGAACACAAAGGAGUUGGUGUGUGCCUCCAUUGCGGCUUAGGAUGUUUACGGUGGUCUUUCUUUUUUAUCUGAAUGGAGAGGGCCGCUGGUUCUUGAUCUUUAGGUUAACCAGUUUUUUUAUGUUGCGUGCUCAUGCUGCCCUAUGUUUUCUUUCUUGAUCUGAAUGGAGAGAGUGCCACUGGUUCUUGAUCUUAAGGUGACCCAAUUUUUUAUGUUGCGUGCUCAUGCUGCUCUCUGUUUUCUUUUAAUACUUCUUGCUUGCUAUUUUAUUGUUGUUAGGAAUGCCGUGUUAAUUUAGUUUCCUACUACUUUGAUCUGUCAAGUAUAUUAAAAACUUUGUAAGUUCUAAUGUAUCAACAAGAAUCUGCGGAUGCUUCUUUUCUUCUUGGGUUCUUAAAAAAGCACAAAGGUGGUCCAUCUUGAACUGUAAUUUGUUCGGUGCUGUUUUUCUAAUUCCCUACGAAAUUAUUAGUCAUUUUGGUGUUUGGAGGUACACUGUCAAGGUGACUAAUAAACUUUUUUCCUUUUACAAUGUACAAUGCAUAUAUAAGUUAAUAUUAUGUACUUUUGUAAAUGAAGUUACUAUAGUUGAGAGCAUGGAUAUGGCCCUUCCAAAGCUCUAUGCAGCAGAGAACGGCGGGCGUGGCGGAGCGACCCCGUGGGAGGACACGUCGGCCUGCUGCUACGAGUAAGGUCCAUACUGUGCUUUUAGUCUCACACCGCAAAUUUGAUAGAAUUUUCACCGCUAUAUGAAUGUUCGCCUCGGGAAUGGUCUCACUAAGUACCAGUAGAGUAGGUUAGGACUCGAUUAUGCCCGUGGGGACAGUGUAAAGGGUUGACAGUAUCCACUAUGUACAAGAUUGAUCAGUUUUGCCUGAUUAGUUAGUGGAUAUUUGUAUCACUGGUCAUGAAACGAUGGUGUUAGUGGUGGAUUGGUAGCCAGAUGCAAAUCAGAUCAUCAUUUUUGUUGA